GCAUAUCAAUAAGCGGAGGAAAAGAAACCAACCGGGAUUGCCUUAGUAACGGCGAGUGAAGCGGCAAAAGCUCAAAUUUGAAAUCUGGUACCUUCGGUGCCCGAGUUGUAAUUUGGAGAGGGCAACUUUGGGGCCGUUCCUUGUCUAUGUUCCUUGGAACAGGACGUCAUAGAGGGUGAGAAUCCCGUGUGGCGAGGAGUGCGGUUCUUUGUAAAGUGCCUUCGAAGAGUCGAGUUGUUUGGGAAUGCAGCUCUAAGUGGGUGGUAAAUUCCAUCUAAAGCUAAAUAUUGGCGAGAGACCGAUAGCGGACAAGUACAGUGAUGGAAAGAUGAAAAGAACUUUGAAAAGAGAGUGAAAAAGUACGUGAAAUUGUUGAAAGGGAAGGGCAUUUGAUCAGACAUGGUGUUUUGUGCCCUCUGCUCCUUGUGGGUAGGGGAAUCUCGCAUUUCACUGGGCCAGCAUCAGUUUUGGUGGCAGGAUAAAUCCAUAGGAAUGUAGCUUGCCUCGGUAAGUAUUAUAGCCUGUGGGAAUACUGCCAGCUGGGACUGAGGACUGCGACGUAAGUCAAGGAUGCUGGCAUAAUGGUUAUAUGCCGCCCGUCUUGAAACACGGACC
rnacentral:rRNA from 1 species